GAGCGUGAUGUGCUGGGGAUCUCAUGCUGUGCUUCACUCUCACUGCGGGGCCUGUGAGGUGUGAGUGGAAGUCAGAGGUGGAAGCCCUUGAUUAGAGUUU
ensembl:miRNA gga-mir-1673 gga-mir-1673